AAAUUGAAGAGUUUGAUCAUGGCUCAGAUUGAACGCUGGCGGCAGGCCUAACACAUGCAAGUCGAACGGUAACAGGAAGCAGCUUGCUGCUUCGCUGACGAGUGGCGGACGGGUGAGUAAUGUCUGGGAAACUGCCUGAUGGAGGGGGAUAACUACUGGAAACGGUGGCUAAUACCGCAUAACGUCGCAAGACCAAAGAGGGGGACCUUCGGGCCUCUUGCCAUCAGAUGUGCCCAGAUGGGAUUAGCUUGUUGGUGAGGUAACGGCUCACCAAGGCGACGAUCCCUAGCUGGUCUGAGAGGAUGACCAGCCACACUGGAACUGAGACACGGUCCAGACUCCUACGGGAGGCAGCAGUGGGGAAUAUUGCACAAUGGGCGCAAGCCUGAUGCAGCCAUGCCGCGUGUAUGAAGAAGGCCUUCGGGUUGUAAAGUACUUUCAGCGGGGAGGAAGGUGUUGUGGUUAAUAACCGCAGCAAUUGACGUUACCCGCAGAAGAAGCACCGGCUAACUCCGUGCCAGCAGCCGCGGUAAUACGGAGGGUGCAAGCGUUAAUCGGAAUUACUGGGCGUAAAGCGCACGCAGGCGGUCUGUCAAGUCGGAUGUGAAAUCCCCGGGCUCAACCUGGGAACUGCAUUCGAAACUGGCAGGCUUGAGUCUUGUAGAGGGGGGUAGAAUUCCAGGUGUAGCGGUGAAAUGCGUAGAGAUCUGGAGGAAUACCGGUGGCGAAGGCGGCCCCCUGGACAAAGACUGACGCUCAGGUGCGAAAGCGUGGGGAGCAAACAGGAUUAGAUACCCUGGUAGUCCACGCCGUAAACGAUGUCUACUUGGAGGUUGUGCCCUUGAGGCGUGGCUUCCGGAGCUAACGCGUUAAGUAGACCGCCUGGGGAGUACGGCCGCAAGGUUAAAACUCAAAUGAAUUGACGGGGGCCCGCACAAGCGGUGGAGCAUGUGGUUUAAUUCGAUGCAACGCGAAGAACCUUACCUGGUCUUGACAUCCACGGAAGUUUUCAGAGAUGAGAAUGUGCCUUCGGGAACCGUGAGACAGG
rnacentral:rRNA from 1 species